rnacentral:RNase_P_RNA from 2 species
CCAGACGGUCGGACGGUCGCGGCAGGUUUCGGCCUGUCGAGGAAAGUCCGGGCUCCACGAAACAAGGGUGGCGGGUAACGCCCGCCGGGCGCGCGUCUUCGGGCGCGGGUCAAGGGAAAGUGCCACAGAGAGUAUACCGCCGAUGGACCGGAACGGGUCACAGGCAAGGGUGAAAGGGUGCGGUAAGAGCGCACCGCGCGGCUGGUAACAGUCCGUGGCACGGUAAAC